rnacentral:lncRNA from 1 species
CCUGACUCUGGAAUUGGAAGUGACAAUGGUGACAAGAGGCUGUCUACUACUGAGCCUUCAGACGAUGACACUGUCAGCCUGCACUCUCAGGUCUCAGAGACAGCCCGUGCCGAUGCGCUUUCUCUUCUCUCUAAAAUGGAUUCCGUCAAAGGUUACCGAAAAUAAGUAUCACAUAUUCCCCUUUGGCAGCUAUAACAGAGACACGGGGGUUGUUGAGUGCCUAACAUGUGACAGUUUAUUUGAUGAACGCGGAUGCUUCCUCCCUCUAUCAGAUCAGGAUCUCUAUGACUUUAUAGAUCCCAACCCGGAGGAGGACCCUGCUCUGUCAGAGUGUGACGGGCAGCAGAGCAGUCAUGUGUCUUGUAUCAAGGAACUGGAGAAAGUUCUUAAUAUGUCACACCAAAGCAAAGAUAAAGACGGCUGGAAAGAGGAGUCAGGCUCUGAUAAGGAGCAGCUAGUUGAGGAAGAGGAUGAUGAGCUAAAGGAAGUGCUGGAUCUGAGGAAGAUUGCUGUUCAGCUUUUGCAGCAGGAGCAGCAGAACAGGUGUGUUGGUCUCACUUGU